UAAUACGUAGGGGGCAAGCGUUACUCGGAUUUAUUGGGCGUAAAGCGAAUGUAGGCGGUUUUGCAAGUCAGGGGUGAAAUCCCUCAGCUUAACUGAGGAAGUGCCUUUGAAACUGCAUAACUAGAGGGCAGGAGAGGAAGGUGGAAUUCCCGGUGUAGCGGUGGAAUGCGUAGAUAUCGGGAGGAACACCAGAGGCGAAGGCGGCUUUCUGGACUGAUCCUGACGCUGAGAUUCGAAAGCUAGGGGAGCAAACAGGAUUAGAUACCCUGGUAGUCCUAGCCGUAAACGAUGGAUACUAGAUCUUGCAUUUUUUGCUUGGUCGAAGCUAACGCGUUAAGUAUCCCGCCUGGGGAGUACGGUCGCAAGGCUG
rnacentral:rRNA from 1 species